rnacentral:rRNA from 1 species
UACGGGGGGGGUAAGCGUUGUUCGGAAUUACUGGGCGUAAAGGGCUCGUAGGCGGCCAACUAAGUCAGACGUGAAAUCCCUCAGCUUAACUGGGGAACUGCGUCUGAUACUGGAUGGCUUGGAUUCGGGAGAGGAAUGCGGAAUUCCAGGUGUAGCGGUGAAAUGCGUAGAUAUCUGGAGGAACACCGGCGGCGAAGGCGGCCAACUGGACGAAGACUGACGCUGAGGCACGAAAGCGUGGGGAGCAAACAGG